GAGGGUAUAGCUCAGUGGUAGAGCACAUGCUUAGAAGGUAUGAGGUCCUGGAUUCAAUCCUCAGUACCUCCU
rnacentral:tRNA from 1 species